rnacentral:rRNA from 1 species
GGACUACAAGGGUUUCUAAUCCUGUUUGCUCCCCACGCUUUCGCACCUCAGCGUCAGUAAUGGACCAGUGAGCCGCCUUCGCCACUGGUGUUCCUCCGAAUAUCUACGAAUUUCACCUCUACACUCGGAAUUCCACUCACCUCUUCCAUACUCAAGAUACCCAGUAUCAAAGGCAGUUCCAGAGUUGAGCUCUGGGAUUUCACCCCUGACUUAAAUAUCCGCCUACGUGCGCUUUACGCCCAGUAAUUCCGAACAACGCUAGCCCCCUUCGUAUUACCGCGGCGGCUGGCAC